ACCAGGCCCUCUAGGAGCCUCUGUUCCCCGAGGAGUCCAAAAAACGCAACCCCUGAGGCUGCCCGGCCGGCCAGCAGCUGUCUCUCCACGGGCAUGACCUCAGACCGGGCUCCGGUUACCGGCACGGCAGGGCUGAAAAGACCCGUCCCGGGGUACGUCUAAUGCCGCAUUCACGUGCUUAGACGUAACGUCUGAAUUUCACCACCCUGCUGCCUUUACUGGCCACCAGUCUGCAAGACAAGCUUCACGUCGCUCUCCUCCCUGCGCAGAUGCUGCGUCGCGGAGCCUUGCAGCAGGGGACUCUGAAACGAUUAAAAU